rnacentral:misc_RNA from 1 species
GCAAACUUGGUCAUUUAGAGGAAGUAAAAGUCGUAACAAGGUUUCCGUAGGUGAACCUGCGGAAGGAUCAUUAAAGAUUCGGGUUUCGGCCCACUUUCCAACUGUGCGCUUCGGCUGCACGUUGGAAAAAUCUCACACACCUGUGCACCUCCUCGGUUGCGGCGUUCGCGUCGCUUCCGCUGCAUUACACAACAACCAAGUACAGAAUGUCUACCACAAUAUUAACAUAACAAUUUUCAACAACGGAUCUCUUGGCUCUCGCAUCGAUGAAGAACGCAGC